rnacentral:lncRNA from 10 species
CUGGCGUGCUCAUGAUUAUAAAUAUGAUGUCAACAGCUGAGAUGAGGACAUAUGCACACUUUAAAAUUUGGUGAUCUAUUUUAUACUUUCAUUUGCAAUUGUAAGGAAAAAACCUUUCUUCAGCGAAUUCUCCCGAUAUGACUUGCUAUAGGAGGAAGCACUCUUGCAGGCAGCUGAGUGUGGUCAAGAAGUGUCAAAGAUCCUAUUUGUUCAAGAGAAUAUCCAUUUAUAUAAUGUCAUGAACAUAUAUCCAAUGACAUAAUUUGCCUGCAAAUGUACCCAGUGAGUGGCAGAGUCAUCCUGAAGCCUGCUUUCCAGGCCCCGCGUAUAUUCUAGAAAGCUUCACAUGUGAGAUAAAUGCACUCAAAGAUUCCUCACAAGUAGCUCUUUGGAGCUUCAGAUGUGAAAUGGAUCAUUCCUCAAUCUGUAAUAGACCCUUCUGUGAAGCUCUUCAAUCAAACCAGAGAAUUCAAGAGUUUCCAACACCUAAGAGUGGUAUUUGGCAAAUGGUGGGCCAAAGGAAUAAAGAAGGCAUGCAAAACUCUUGACAGAAGACAUUCAGAAAUUGAUUUGAUAUCAGAUACAAGGAGAAAAUAUGCCAGUAAGAAAAUGCAUUUUUCAAGAUUAAAUUCGGCAUUUGUUACUUAAUAGCAUUUGUCAUAUUCCAAUUUUUCAUAUGUAGUAAAUUCAUUUCAAAUCAUUUCGCUCUUCCAAGUGCCUUUGUGUAUUGUAUUUCUUUUUUCACAUCCUUUUGGAUAACAUUUGAGA